rnacentral:rRNA from 1 species
UCGACGGAGAGUUUGAUCCUGGCUCAGGACGAACGCUGGCGGCGGGCCUAAUACAUGCAAGUCGAACGCACUCGACCUUCGGGUCACAUGAGUGAGUGGCGAACGGGUGAGUAACACGUGAGGAACCUGCCCUGAAGACCGGAAUAACCCGAGGAAACUCGAGCUAAUACCGGAUAUCCCCAUCUGGUCGCAUGGCCUAAUGAGGAAAUGUUCAGGCG